rnacentral:rRNA from 1 species
CAGCAGCCACGGUAAUACAGAGGGUGCAAGCGUUAAUCGGAAUUACUGGGCGUAAAGCGCGCGUAGGUGGUUUGUUAAGUUGGAUGUGAAAGCCCCGGGCUCAACCUGGGAACUGCAUCCAAAACUGGCAAGCUAGAGUACGGUAGAGGGUGGUGGAAUUUCCUGUGUAGCGGUGAAAUGCGUAGAUAUAGGAAGGAACACCAGUGGCGAAGGCGACCACCUGGACUGAUACUGACACUGAGGUGCGAAAGCGUGGGGAGCAAACAGGAUUAGAGACCCGCGUAGUCCCUGUCUCUUAUAC